GAAACGCACUCACUUCAACCUCCACCAACCAAAAUGACUGCUUAAAGGCCAUUCAGCCCCUUUAUCACUGUGGCUCAAAUUUGACUUUCUUCCCAAUUCAUCCGUGAUUCAGAUUUCUUCUGUUUCAGGAGCUUUGCCCAUGCCUUCUGCCACCUUCUGCCAGGAAUUAUACCUGUCCCAUCCCAUCAAGUCUCCUGAAUGGCCAGAGACCAGGGUCUCCCUUUGUUUCCCAGAAUGGUCUUGAACUCCUGGUUUUCAAGCAAUCCUCCUGUCUUGGUCUCUCAAAGUGCUAGGAUUACAAGUGUGAGCCACCAUACCCAAUCAUAGUGCUCUUAUAAAAUGCAUCAUCAUAUUUAUUUUACAAAUUCAAAAACAGAAGUCUGUAUAGAUAAGUUUUGAAGUUACUAGGGACCUGGAAAUCAUACUGAAGAUGUCUCCAAUUAAAAAACUCUGGAGAGUUCCGAGGCUAGAGGGGUCAGGAGACAAAUAAAAACUUUAGCCCCAGCUGAUCACAAUGAGGUUAAUCACAAUACUACUUAAAGAUACUUCAGAUCCUAGGACAAUGGUCCGAAGUCGAGUGACUAUACUUUCCUGUCUGCCCUUUGAAAAUCAAGGCCUGACUUUUCUACAUGCUCAGUCAUGCUCAGAUAACCUAAAUUGAUAGAGAGAAAGUUAGCAGAGGAUAAGAUCAACUGGUUAACUGUAAAUAAGAUUUUGCUGUUGGAGAAUCUUCUUGUUGCUCUGGUUUUAGAUAGCAGAGGAAGCCAAAGAAUACCUGCUUUAAGUUAUCAGGAGUUGAAGCUCAUCCAUACUGAAAUUAACGGGUUGCUUCUCUUUUUCUGGUUUAUUCUUACUUUACUGGUGAAGAGAAAAUAAAUUAAUUAAUACCUUGUUGU